AGUAACGCGUGGGUAACCUGCCCUAUACACAUGGAUAACAUACUGAAAAGUUUACUAAUACAUGAUAAUAUAUAUUUACGGCAUCGUAGAUAUAUCAAAGUGUUAGCGGUAUAGGAUGGACCCGCGUCUGAUUAGCUAGUUGGUGAGAUAACUGCCCACCAAGGCGACGAUCAGUAGCCGACCUGAGAGGGUGAUCGGCCACAUUGGAACUGAGACACGGUCCAAACUCCUACGGGAGGCAGCAGGA
rnacentral:rRNA from 1 species